GUACACUCCUACGGGAGGCAGCAGUGGGGAAUAUUGCACAAUGGGCGCAAGCCUGAUGCAGCGACGCCGCGUGGGGGAUGAAGGCCUUCGGGUUGUAAACUCCUUCCGCUAGGGACGAAGCUUUUUUGUGACGGUACCUAGAUAAGAAGCACCGGCUAACUACGUGCCAGCAGCCGCGGUAAUACGUAGGGUGCGAGCGUUGUCCGGAAUUACUGGGCGUAAAGGGCUCGUAGGUGGUUUGUCGCGUCGUCUGUGAAAUUCUGGGGCUUAACUCCGGGCGUGCAGGCGAUACGGGCAUAACUUGAGUGCUGUAGGGGUAACUGGAAUUCCUGGUGUAGCGGUGAAAUGCGCAGAUAUCAGGAGGAACACCGAUGGCGAAGGCAGGUUACUGGGCAGUUACUGACGCUGAGGAGCGAAAGCAUGGGUAGCGAACAGGAUUAGAAACCCCUGUAGUCCC
rnacentral:rRNA from 1 species